AAAGCGGAGGAAAAGAAACUAACAAGGAUUCCCCUAGUAACGGCGAGUGAAGCGGGAAGAGCUCAAAUUUGAAAUCUGGUAGCCUUCGGUUGCCCGAGUUGUAAUCUAGAGAAGUGUUUUCCGUGCCGGCCCAUGUACAAGUCCCUUGGAACAGGGCGUCAUAGAGGGUGAGAAUCCCGUCCUUGACAUGGACCCCCGGUGCUUUGUGAUACACUUUCAACGAGUCGAGUUGUUUGGGAAUGCAGCUCAAAAUGGGUGGUGAAUUCCAUCUAAAGCUAAAUAUUGGCGAGAGACCGAUAGCGAACAAGUACCGUGAGGGAAAGAUGAAAAGCACUUUGGAAAGAGAGUUAAACAGUACGUGAAAUUGUUGAAAGGGAAACGAUUGAAGUCAGUCAUGCUCUUAGGAUUCAGCCGUUCUGCGGUGUAUUUCCUUUGAGUGGGGUCAACAUCAGUUUUGAUCGAUGGAUAAAGGCACGAGGAAGGUAGCACUCUCGGGUGAACUUAUAGCCUCGCGUCAUAUACAUUGAUUGGGACUGAGGAACGCAGCAUGCCUUUAUGGCCGGGAUUCGUCCACGUACAUGCUUAGGAUGUGACGCAGCAUCAACAAAU
rnacentral:rRNA from 1 species